GAGACCUCAUGUCAGGCGGGGCUACCCGCUGAGUUUAAGCAUAUCAAUAAGCGGAGGAAAAG
rnacentral:rRNA from 1 species